rnacentral:rRNA from 1 species
AACGAACGCUGGCGGCAGGCUUAACACAUGCAAGUCGAACGCCCCGCAAGGGGAGUGGCAGACGGGUGAGUAACGCGUGGGAAUCUACCGUACCCUACGGAAUAACGCAUGGAAACGUGUGCUAAUACCGUAUACGCCCUACGGGGGAAAGAUUUAGCGGGGUAUGAUGAGCCCGCGUUGGAUUAGCUAGUUGGUGGGGUAAAGGCCGACCAAGGCGACGAUCCAUAGCUGGUCUGAGAGGAUGAUCAGCCACAUUGGGACUGAGACACGGCCCAAACUCCUACGGGAGGCAGCAGUGGGGAAUAUUGGACAAUGGGCGCAAGCCUGAUCCAGCCAUGCCGCGUGAGUGAUGAAGGUCUUAGGAUUGUAAAGCUCUUUCACCGGAGAAGAUAAUGACGGUAUCCGGAGAAGAAGCCCCGGCUAACUUCGUGCCAGCCGCCGCGGUAA